GCCUGUUGCACCAUUUUUCCAAGAAAAUCACGUGGAGCACCUCUCCCAUUUAAUCACCAUUAUUUUAUAAACGUACACCCCCUUUUUUUCUUUUUUCCUUCCUUCCUUUUUUUUCCUUUUUUUUUCUUUUUCCUUUUUUCUCCUUCUUCUUUUUUUUUUUAUCUCUUUUUCCUUUUUUUCUUUUUACUUUUAUUUUUGCCUUUUUUUUUCUCUUUUCAUGUUCUAUUUUUUUUCUUUUCUUUUUGUUUUCUCGCUUUUUUUCUUUUAUCCUUUUCUUCCUUUUUUUUUCUUUUUUUUCGUUUUUCAUGCUCUUUUUUCUUUUCUUUUUCCUUUUUUUUUCUUUUAAAAUGUUUUUGUUUUUUUUAUUCUUUCUUCGUUUCUUUUUUUUUUCUUUUUUUUUAAAAUAACAAAAUAAUGAAAUAAGACAACAACAAAAAUGAAGUCCUAUUAUUUAGUCACCCGGACGAAAUUGGGUGUUGACAAUCCCUUAGCGUCACCACCGCUCAACAGUGAGUUCACCGCCCAACGGUAGACGUGAUUUGGCUUUUCCCCCUUUUUGCUUUGCUUCAAACGUCUUUGACCCUGUAAACCUCAAGUUCAACUUUCAAAUUUUAAUUUUCAUGCAAUUCCCUCUCACUCUACUCACUUAUGCAACAAUUAAGCCCUAAAUGCAACUAGAACAAAAUUAGAACAUGCAAAGGAAACAAAUCAAUCAACUGAGUUGCCUCCCAGGUAACGCUUGUUUAACGUCACGAGCCUGACCCAAAAUCUUUCUAGCACCCAUGAGUAGGUGCAAACCUUACCAUCACCCAUCAGUAGGUGUACCUUCCUAGUAUCCUUCAGUAGAUACAUAAUCAUCUAGCAUCCCUCAGUAGAUGCUAUCCUAGUGGCAUUCAUCAGUAAAUGUUGUCAGUGACAUCCAUCAGUAGAUGUCUAAUCAUAUAACAUCCAUCAGUAGAUGCUAAUCUUUCUUAACAUCCCUCAGUAGAUGUCAUCACUACUAUCAGAAGUAGCAUAUAACUAAAAAAAUAAAAUAAAAUUAAAUAUAAUAAGAUAAAAUAAAAUAAAAUAAAAUAAAAUAAAUAAAAUAAAAUCAAAUCAAAUCAAAUAAAAUAAAAGAAAAUAAAAUAAAAUAAAAUAAAAUCAAAUAAAAUACAAUCAAACAAAAUAAAAGAUAAAAGAAUUCAGAAACUGGGUUACCUCCCAACAAGCGCUCCUUUAACGUCAUUAGCUUGAUAUUCUUUAGUGGGUGUUGAUACUCCCCUUGCUUGAUAUUCUUUUCUUUUUCUUCUUUCUGCUGAAUUUCUUUAAAAAGUUGAGAACACCAAGCACCUUUUUCCAUGUCUUAAUCAUAGGAACUUUAAUCUCCAAUUUCUUGAAGAUCUCCAUAAAGCACUUAAAUUUCUUUUCCUUCCUAUGAUAUUUCUUUUGAUGUGGAAGGGGUUUUUCAUAUGAUCUUUUCUUUCUUCCUCUCUUCCUCUUUCUCUUACUCUCCUUUUCUCUCAAUUUUCUCUUUUUCUUUUCUCUUACUUUCUUCUUUUUUUUCACAAUUUUUCUCUUUUUUUUUUUCUUUUCUCUCAACCACUUCUUUUUCUUUUUCACCCAACCUUUUUGUUUCUAUCUCCUUUAUCUUUUCCUGAUCUAUCUCUAUCUCUUCUUCCUCUAUCUUCUCCUCCUUUCUCUCCAUUUUUUUCUCCUCUAUCUUCUCCUCAUCCGUCUCUAUCUUUUCUUCCUCUAUCUUCUCGUCCUUUCUCUCCAUUUUUUUUCUCCUUUAUCUUCUCUUCAUCUAUCUCAACUUUUCUUCCUCUAUCUUCUCCUCAUCAACAACCUUAUCACUUUCAGAGAUAGUGGUUUGACAUUCCUUCCCAGGGUUAACUUCAGUAUUAACCCUAGAAUCCAACUUAUCCAAUUUCUCAUUUAAGUGACGAAUCUGCAUCUUCAUCCUUUUGAAUGUUGCUUCCCUGUUUUUGUGAUCAGAGAUGAAAAAUUGCAUAAUUUGUUCCAACAUCUCCUUCAACCUAUUGAUUUUUUCACACAAGGCCAAUACCUGUUGUCGUAGUUGUUGAUCGUCCACCCACGUUUGUGUGGGUAAAGAGAGUUGCUACUGCCAUAGUUGUUGUAACGAUCUUUUAAUUUGUAUGACAACUUGCCCAUAUUGACUUAGGUUUAUGCUUGAGUGAGGUUUCCCCCAGUGGUUGAGAUCGUCUUGAUAGAAUUGAGUGCCCACAUAGUCAAAUUCUUGUCCAAAACUCCAUCCUGCAAACAUUAGGCACAAAACCCUAGAAAACAUUUAUUAGAACAAAAAUAAAAACAAACAUAAAAAUCAAGUCAAAGAUAAUCAAUAAUCACACUACUAGAAUAGUUAAACCAAUGAAUCCCCGACAACAGCGCCAAAAACUUGUUAACACCCUAGCAAGUGUACCAGAUCGUAUCAAGUAAUAAGUAGACGGUAAGUCCAGAUAUCGUUUCCCAAGGGACACUUAGGCCUAGAUGUUCAUGUGAAUUCAUUUCUUAAGACUUGAUAAAGAUUAAAUUUAGGGUUUAUAAUGCAAAAACUAAAAUAAGCAUGCAAAUGCAAAGCUUGAUCAGUUGACAGAUAAAGAGAUGAAUGAAUGGAGUUGUUAGGGUUUACGGUUUCAUCCUAAUCCACUCUCUUAUACUUCCUAUUCUUAUUAGGUUCAACUUUAUUAUCAAUGUUCAUGCAACUUUCUAAUUUACUCUAAACCUGAUCUCUCG
rnacentral:lncRNA from 1 species